rnacentral:rRNA from 1 species
AACGAACGCUGGCGGCAUGCCUAAUACAUGCAAGUCGAACGAGAUCUUCGGAUCUAGUGGCGCACGGGUGCGUAACGCGUGGGAAUCUGCCCUUGGGUUCGGAAUAACUUCUGGAAACGGAAGCUAAUACCGGAUGAUGACGUAAGUCCAAAGAUUUAUCGCCCAAGGAUGAGCCCGCGUAGGAUUAGCUAGUUGGUGGGGUAAAGGCCCACCAAGGCGACGAUCCUUAGCUGGUCUGAGAGGAUGAUCAGCCACACUGGGACUGAGACACGGCCCAGACUCCUACGGGAGGCAGCAGUAGGGAAUAUUGGACAAUGGGGGAAACCCUGAUCCAGCAAUGCCGCGUGAGUGAUGAAGGCCUUAGGGUUGUAAAGCUCUUUUACCCGGGAUGAUAAUGACAGUACCGGGAGAAUAAGCGCCGGCUAACUCCGUG